CGUGAGUGAAGAAGGCCUUUGGGUCGUAAAGCUCUGUCAAUCGGGAAGAAGUUAUUGUAUUCAAAUAGAGUAUAGUAUUGACGGUACCGAUGAAGGAAGCACCGGCUAACUCCGUGCCAGCAGCCGCGGUAAUACGGGGGGUGCAAGCGUUAUUCGGAAUUAUUGGGCGUAAAGGGCGCGUAGGCGGUUUUGUCGGUCAGAUGUGAAAGCCCGGGGCUCAACCCUGGAAGUGCAUUUGAAACAGCAAGACUUGAGUACGGGAGAGGAAAGCGGAAUUCCUGGUGUAGAGGUGAAAUUCGUAGAUAUCAGGAGGAACACCGAUGGCGAAGGCAGCUUUCUGGACCGAUACUGACGCUGAGGCGCGAAGGCGUGGGUAGCGAACGGGAUUAGAUACCCCGGUAGUCCACGCAGUAAACGAUGUUCACUAGGUGUAGCGGGUAUUAAAAUCUGCUGCGCCCAAGCUAACGCAUUAA
rnacentral:rRNA from 1 species